rnacentral:rRNA from 1 species
UACGGGAGGCAGCAGUGAGGAAUAUUGGUCAAUGGAUGCAAGUCUGAACCAGCCACGUCGCGUGAAGGAAGACGGCCCUACGGGUUGUAAACUUCUUUUGUAAGGGAAUAAAGUGCAGUACGCGUACUGUUUUGCAAGUACCUUGCGAAUAAGGAUCGGCUAACUCCGUGCCAGCAGCCGCGGUAAUACGGAGGAUCCGAGCGUUAUCCGGAUUUAUUGGGUUUAAAGGGUGCUCAGGCGGGGGAUUAAGUCGGCGGUGAAAUUUUGCAGCUCAACUGUAAAAGUGCCUUCGAAACUGGUUUCCUUGAGUGUGGAUGAGGUAGGCGGAAUUUGUGGUGUAGCGGUGAAAUGCAUAGAUAUCACGAGGAACUCCGAUUGCGCAGGCAGCUUACUAAGCCAUAACUGACGCUCAAGCACGAAGGCGUGGGGAUCAAACAGGAUUAGAUACCCUGGUAGUCCACGCAGUAAACGAUGAUUACUGGCUGUUUGCGAUAUAAUGUAAGCGGCUGAGCGAAAGCGUUAAGUAAUCCACCUGGGGAGUACGUUCGCAAGAAUGAAACUCAAAGGAAUUGACGG